rnacentral:rRNA from 1 species
CCUACGGGAGGCAGCAGUAGGGAAUCUUCCACAAUGGGCGAAAGCCUGAUGGAGCAACGCCGCGUGGGUGAAGAAGGUCUUCGGAUCGUAAAACCCUGUUUUUAGAGAAGAAAGUGCGUGAGAGUAACUGUUCACGUUUCGACGGUAUCUAACCAGAAAGCCACGUCUAACUACGUGCCAGCAGCCGCGGUAAUACGUAGGUGGCAAGCGUUAUCCGGAUUUAUUGGGCGUAAAGGGAACGCAGGCGGUCUUUUAAGUCUGAUGUGAAAGCCUUCGGCUUAACCGGAGUAGUGCAUUGGAAACUGGGAGACUGGAGUGCAGAAGAGGCAGGUGGAAGUCGAGGUGUAGCGGUGAAAUGCGUAGAUAUGUGGAAGAACACCAGUGGCGAAAGCGGCUUUCUGGUCUGUAACUGACGCUGAGGUUCGAAAGCGUGGGUAGCAAACAGGAUUAGAUACCCGGGUAGUC